GACGAAGGGGGCUAGCGUUGUUCGGAAUUACUGGGCGUAAAGCGCACGUAGGCGGCUUUGUAAGUUAGAGGUGAAAGCCCGGGGCUCAACUCCGGAAUUGCCUUUAAGACUGCAUCGCUAGAAUUGUGGAGAGGUGAGUGGAAUUCCGAGUGUAGAGGUGAAAUUCGUAGAUAUUCGGAAGAACACCAGUGGCGAAGGCGACUCACUGGACACAUAUUGACGCUGAGGUGCGAAAGCAUGGGGAGCGAACAGG
rnacentral:rRNA from 1 species